rnacentral:rRNA from 1 species
CCUACGGGUGGCAGCAGUGGGGAAUAUUGCACAAUGGGGGAAACCCUGAUGCAGCGACGCCGCGUGAGUGAAGAAGUAUUUCGGUAUGUAAAGCUCUAUCAGCAGGGAAGAAAAUGACGGUACCUGAUUAAGCAGCCCCGGCUAACUACGUGCCAGCCGCCGCGGUCAUACGUAGGGGGCAAGCGUUAUCCGGAUUUACUGGGUGUAAAGGUAGCGUAGACGGCAGCACAAGUCUGGAGUGAAAUGCCGGGGCUUAACCCCGGAACUGCUUUGGAAACUGUGCAGCUAGAGUGCAGGAGAGGUAAGUGGAAUUCCUAGUGUAGCGGUGAAAUGCGUAGAUAUUAGGAGGAACACCAGUGGCGAAGGCGGCUUACUGGACUGUAACUGACGUUGAGGCUCGAAAGCGUGGGGAGCAAACAGGAUUAGAUACCCGGGUAGUC